UGACUGUGCAUAGACUGGCAUUGUGGGUAGUCGGCCUUGGUGAAGAACUGGGCACAGCCCACAAUGUUGGUGGCUGUGAGCGUCGUGGCUGUGUCAUCCCACAUAGCCAGUACGCACAAGUCGUAGCCCGUUCCGGACACCAGGU
ensembl:miRNA Gm44304 predicted gene, 44304